rnacentral:rRNA from 1 species
GAUGAACGCUGGCGGCGUGCCUAAUACAUGCAAGUCGAGCGAACAGACGAGGAGCUUGCUCCUCUGACGUUAGCGGCGGACGGGUGAGUAACACGUGGAUAAUCUACCUAUAAGACUGGGAUAACUUCGGGAAACCGGAGCUAAUACCGGAUAAUAUAUUGAACCGCAUGGUUCAAUAGUGAAAGCCGGUUUUGCUGUCACUUAUAGAUGGAUCCGCGCCGCAUUAGCUAGUUGGUAAGGUAACGGCUUACCAAGGCAACGAUGCGUAGCCGACCUGAGAGGGUGAUCGGCCACACUGGAACUGAGACACGGUCCAGACUCCUACGGGAGGCAGCAGUAGGGAAUCUUCCGCAAUGGGCGAAAGCCUGACGGAGCAACGCCGCGUGAGUGAUGAAGGUCUUCGGAUCGUAAAACUCUGUUAUUAGGGAAGAACAAAUGUGUAAGUAACUAUGCACGUCUUGACGGUACCUAAUCAGAAAGCCACGGCUAACUACGUG